GACCAGAGCACGUGGCCACUCCACGUGGCUAGGCUUCCUCACAGCACGGCAGCUUCAGAGCACUCAUACCCUUCAUGUGGUAGCACAGGGCUCCAAGUGCAAGUGUCCCAGUCAACAAGGAGGAAGCCACCUUGCCCUUCAGGAUGCUGCCUUCCAAGUUACCCGGGAUCCAUUCGCCCUGUUCUGCUGGUCAGAGCCAUCACAAGCCACAUAAAGAGUGAGUGGCACUCUGAAGCGUCUCCCCACGUGCCUGAUGUGCUCACAGGAGCUUUUCAACAUGUCGAGCAGAGCCAGAGCCUUCCCAAGAUGGCAGCCCUCCCCAAGGAGGGCACAGAAAUCACAAUCACCAGUCGCUCAUGCAACACAGACUGUGAGCUCCUCGGAGGGGCUGCGUCCCAUCCUUCAUGUCUUCCUACCACGAGCACAGAACUAGCACAGAUUGGGUGCUCUUUAAGCAUCUACUCAAACUGAAUCACCAGAAAGGUUCCACAUCAGGGAAAUUCCUCUCCAGACAUCUUAGGACACAGAUACCAAGAUGUAGGUACAAGAAUGUUGCAGACAGACCAGACUGUUUGAGAGAGUGAAGUUGUGGACAAGGCCUAAGUGACCAUCAACAGGACACAGGCAUGGGAACACCUGAGGACCCCCACCAACCACCCAGCGGCUUUCUCUGGGAGGGGAGUUUGGGGGUGGAGAUGUUCGAGGGAAAUGAGACUGGACUUUAUGCACUUGUGUACUCUGGGAUCUAACAAUGAGCAGGAGGUAUCUUUAGAACAAAAAGUGUCAUCAUCGACUCUGCAGUGCUGGACGUCAGAAAUGCCAGCAAGAGAAAAUCUUCCCUGACUCCUUGGACCAGCAUAGGCGAAGCUCACGGCAGAUGCUAACCUGACAUCCAUCUUUCAGCUGGGAUCCCAGGGCAAGCAAGGUGUCCUGCCACCUCCUCCAACCUCCCUGCCUCUGCUCCCUCUGAACUCGUUCCUUGAAGAAGGCAAGCUUCACCAAGACUCCAUGCCUCCGCAUAGCUCUCUCUUCUUUACCCGGGGGACUUCUUCCCGUCUGCCAGGAGCUAAUGCAGAUGUCACAGCCUCUGAAAGCCUGCUCUACUCCUUAAGAGAGUUAAUAAUCCCCUCCUUGGUGCUCGCGCAGCCCGCGGCACCCCUGGCCUGCAGCGUUAUCUGUUCUUCUGGCAUGCUUCAGACUACGCACAACUCCACAACACACACA